rnacentral:rRNA from 1 species
GACGAACCGUGCGAACGUUGUUCGGAAUCACUGGGCUUAAAGGGCGCGUAGGCGGGCGGCCAAGUCCGGGGUGAAAUCCUCCAGCUCAACUGGAGAAGUGCCUCGGAUACUGGUCGUCUCGAGGAGGGUAGGGGCAUCUGGAACUAGCGGUGGAGCGGUGAAAUGCGUUGAUAUCGCUAGGAACUCCGGUGGCGAAGGCGAGGUGCUGGACCCUUUCUGACGCUGAGGCGCGAAAGCCAGGGGAGCGAACGGG